GGUUCUUUGGCGCAGUAGGUAGCGCAUGAGUCUCAUAAUCUCAAGGUCGCGGGUUCGAUCCCCGCAGGAACCA